UUGAACGCUGGCGGCAUGCUUUACACAUGCAAGUCGAACGGCAGCGCGGGCUUCGGCCUGGCGGCGAGUGGCGAACGGGUGAGUAAUGCAUCGGAACGUGCCCAGUCGUGGGGGAUAGCCCGGCGAAAGCCGGAUUAAUACCGCAUACGACCUGAGGGUGAAAGCGGGGGACCGAAAGGCCUCGCGCUAUUGGAGCGGCCGAUGUCGGAUUAGCUAGUUGGUGGGGUAAAGGCUUACCAAGGCGACGAUCCGUAGCUGGUCUGAGAGGACGACCAGCCACACUGGGACUGAGACACGGCCCAGACUCCUACGGGAGGCAGCAGUGGGGAAUUUUGGACAAUGGGGGCAACCCUGAUCCAGCCAUGCCGCGUGCGGGAAGAAGGCCUUCGGGUUGUAAACCGCUUUUGUUCGGGAAGAAAUCCUCUGGGCUAAUACCCCGGGGGGAUGACGGUACCGGAAGAAUAAGCACCGGCUAACUACGUG
rnacentral:rRNA from 1 species